CCUGCGUUAACCAAUCACGUGAAAUCAUCCUCUCUCUCCCUCCCUCCCUCCUCCCUCCCUCAGCUGUGGCGACGUUAACCUGCAUUCUCUUCCUCUCGUCUCUCUGCGUCAGGGUACAGGGCGGGAGAGCGUCAUUCAUCAAGUUGUUUGAUAACAGAAGGACACACGAGUAUAGAGCAAGUAAACACUGAAAUAAGUACUCCCUAAAAUUACAAACGAAUUCACGAAGCUUUUCUUAACUGGUUCACGGAGUCGCAUUCAAGGUUCAGUGUUCCUCGCCGCUCGCUGGUGGGGGAGGGUGCGGCACUCCGCUAGGCAACACUGCUGAUGUCAACUUUUCUUAAGGCAGGUAACAGCUGGGGUGCAGAAUGGCCGAGAGUGGCGGGGCUGCUGGCGUCACCUGUGUAGGCGCUCGCUACUCAAUGCCUCCGGUGAUGUCUUUGUGCAGCCGUGCGUCUCGUCAACCCGCUGGCAUUCGCUCCAAAACUUUAUACUUCCGUCUGGAUGUGAAAAAAUUUUCCUCCACUACGUGACGGAUCGAAUCUUAAAACUCGGCUUCCGACCGUCACUAUACUGGCGAUCAUCACUCCCCUUCAAGCUCUCCACAAGUCUUCCAUGGAAGUACAGGGAGUAUUGCUUCCGAACCUGAAAUUCAUUCAAGUUGUAUAUAUAGUAGUAGCAGCACACAGGUUGAUUAUUUUUUUUUCACUAAAAUAACCAAUGCUUGAUUUUAUUUACUACACACAGGUAUGGUUUGAAAAACCCCGUUUUAUCCAUGCGAGGUUCUUAGAAGACGCUGUUUACGGCGUGGCUUAGACGCUCUAACUCCACACUGCAAAGCUUCCUGCACAGCUUGACUCAGUCAGUGUGUUUUACUACAAAUAAGACGACGAAACAUUCUGCUGUGCUGGACGGGGGGGGGGAGGGGCGGUCUCGCGGACUGACUGGUGUUCGUUGUUCAUGAUGCAGGACGACGACGACUUCCGGAGGUUUAGUGGCAGGUUAAUCCAUGACGUCCGCCGUCAACACUUGCACGGCAGAUAUCCGCAAACGUUUGAUCUGAAGCAAUAAAUUCUCUCUGUACUCGUAUGUGUGUGUAAUUGUAAUAAAUAAUAAGUAAGCUA